rnacentral:rRNA from 1 species
GUGAGGAAUAUUGGUCAAUGGGCGAGAGCCUGAACCAGCCAAGUAGCGUGAAGGAAGACUGCCCUAUGGGUUGUAAACUUCUUUUAUAAGGGAAUAAAGAGCGCCACGUGUGGUGUGUUGUAUGUACCUUAUGAAUAAGCAUCGGCUAAUUCCGUGCCAGCAGCCGCGGUAAUACGGAAGAUGCGAGCGUUAUCCGGAUUUAUUGGGUUUAAAGGGAGCGUAGGCGGGAAGUUAAGUCAGCGGUCAAACACGGUUGCUCAACAAUCGUUCGCCGUUGAAACUGACUUUCUUGAAUGUAGUCAAGGCAGGUGGAAUUCGUGGUGUAGCGGUGAAAUGCUUAGAUAUCACGAAGAACUCCGAUAGCGAAGGCAGCCUGCUGGAGUAUGAUUGACGCUGAGGCUCGAAAGUGCGGGAAUCAAACAGG